rnacentral:rRNA from 1 species
UACGUAGGGGGCAAGCGUUGUCCGGAAUCAUUGGGCGUAAAGAGCGCGUAGGCGGCCCAGUAAGUCCGCUCUGAAAGUCAGGGGCUCAACCCCUGGAUGCGGGUGGAUACUGUCGGGCUAGAGUGCGGAAGAGGCGAGUGGAAUUCCCUGGUGUAGCGGUGAAAUGCGCAGAUAUCAGGAAGAACACCCGUAGCGAAGGCGGCUCUCUGGGACGGUACUGACGCUGAGACGCGAAAGCGUGGGGAGCAAACAGG